AUCAGCCGUUACUGUGAAGGUGUUAUUUGUCUCUCCUCCUCUUUAACGCGGGGCUGGGGGAUCCUAUCCAGGUUGAUCCCAAGGGACAAAGCGAUGGAGAAGUUGCUAUCAGCCCAGGGUGAUUGGCACCGAAGGGGCUGGGCCAUCACAGCAAAGCAUCUCAAAGGUUGCUGUGGAUUAAGGAGAUUCUGGUACCGAGCUGGUGCUGCCCAAUGGCAGUGCUGCCCAUGGAAAUGAAGGACUGCUGCAAAAUGGAGGCCAAAGGAAUUUCUGGCAUGACUUACGCUGGUAGAUCUCCA
ensembl:lncRNA